rnacentral:lncRNA from 1 species
GUGGAUCUGCUACCCAGGACAGCUGAUAAGUGACUCCUGGGAUUUCAGACUGCCGUUGGCUCCAGGUAACCAGAACAAAGGAGAAUGAAGCCAGGAGUAAGGGGCGUGGUGCCUCCAAGAUUGAUUGGUUACUUUUCUGCUUCUGUGACAAAAACGCCAUGAGCAAGGAGGUUUCCAUCAAGUGACAGCUGCCUUCCACGACCUGCCCUGUGCUAUUCUCCUGUCGGGGCUCCCCACAGGAACUGAAACACCAGCUGUAGAUUGGGGUGAAGAAGCAGGAGAUGAAAUAAAAUGAUACCCAGAUGUGCUGGCCUUUGGCAAAGAUGUUUAUAAAGACAAGGACUCCACAGCAGUUAAGUGUGCUCUGAGUAGCAGUUUGCCUUCAGAAAGAUGCCCACUAAGCUUUGGGUCCCAUGGAGCCUCUGAAAACAUUUCUCUAUUUUCAUUCCUCCGUGGGCUUUAUUCCAGGGCACAGCCUUAACGUAGAUGAGACAGGACAUCUUUUGAAAAGCAAAACUUUUAAGGUAGAGGCCAGAGGGUUGCUAGUCCCUGAGAGGAGAUGGACGAGCAGAAGGAAGGGCAGAGGAGCAGCCCCAGGAAGGGCUAUCUUUGUGACCAGGGGACAUUGCAGACAUGCCACCAAGAGGAAGGCAUCCUGGGAGUGGGACUGGAGAGAAAAGCCAUGAGAACUGGAUGAGAAAGGAUGCAUACAAAUAGUUAAAAUAUUCCUCAUUUCUAUUAUAUCCUGAAAAAAAAUGGUAGUGGCCAGAGCUGCCUGGAUUAGGGAAAAGGCUGUAAUUCCAUCUUGGGGUAUCUGGUGAACCAAGCUGUGGGUCUGUGGUUUAUGAUGUCACCAGAACCCCCAGCUG